rnacentral:rRNA from 1 species
AUUGAACGCUGGCGGCAUGCCUUACACAUGCAAGUCGAACGGCGGCACGGGUGCUUGCACCUGGUGGCGAGUGGCGAACGGGUGAGUAAUACAUCGGAACGUACCUUAUCGUGGGGGAUAACGCAGCGAAAGCUGUGCUAAUACCGCAUACGCCCUGAGGGGGAAAGCGGGGGAUCGCAAGACCUCGCGCGAUUAGAGCGGCCGAUGCCGGAUUAGCUAGUUGGUGGGGUAAAAGCCCACCAAGGCGACGAUCAGUAGCUGGUCUGAGAGGACGAUCAGCCACACUGGGACUGAGACACGGCCCAGACUCCUACGGGAGGCAGCAGUGGGGAAUUUUGGACAAUGGGGGCAACCCUGAUCCAGCAAUGCCGCGUGAGUGAAGAAGGCCUUCGGGUUGUAAAGCUCUUUUGUCAGGGAAGAAACACCGGCUCUAACACAGUCCGGGAAUGACGGUACCUGAAGAAUAAGCACCGGCUAACUACGUGCCAGCCGCCGCCGUAA